AAACAAAUUUAUUUAGCAUCUGGAGUUGUGUUUUGGAUUUGAAAGGACACGGUCAGCUUGGAUUCUGGGCUAUUUCAUAGUUGCAGAUUCUAAGUCUUGUGUUUGAAUUCUGCUGGCUGUCUUUACAAGUACUACAUAUUCCUUUUUUUCAUCUUUCGCAUGGUGUGGUGUAAAAGAUACACAGUAAAUAGGAAAUAGACACUGAAUAUAAAGUGAAAAUUACUGUACAUAAAAUGAGGACAAAACCUUUUUUUAAAAAGUGAGCGAGAGAGAGACAGAAACGUGUCUCCACUCAUUCAGUUAGGGUUACUUAUGUGUUACUUGUAAAAAAACCAAUUCAGACAGAAGUGUAAGAUUUUUUGAAGGUGAUGGUGUCCCUUUAAGGAUAGUACAUGUGUAACAGGCCUUGUUCUCUAUGGCAUUGCCCCUUGUGUAGUCAUUUACACCUAUGCAAAAUUGGUGUAAAAUGCUCCAUUUCUGAUUUGGUAGAGGUUUGCACCUAUUUUGCACAGCGGUAUAUGGUCAUGCAAGGCUCAAGGCAGUGGACAAUCAGGACUGAAGUGUCUCCAUAACUGCAGUUAAACUGGAUUACAGCCACCAUAUGUACUAUGGGCUGGAUUUGCCACUUGCUUACACUGGUGUAAAUGAGAGUAACUCCAGUGACGUCAAUGGAGUUACUCUAGUGAAAGUGAGAUGAGACAAGGCUCUCUGAAAUGAAACUUGAAUCAAUUUGUAGAAUUUAACACAUAAUUCUUCCAGACACUACUGUGACUCUGGGUAGGAUUCCUUCCUCAUGUAAACAGGUGUAAUUCCUACUUUAGUCAAUACAUUUACACCAGCAUAAAAACAGCCAGAGAGGAGAAUCAGGUCCCUGCCUUCAUUUUCCUUUUAAAGCCAGAGCAUGGAGAUUCAACACUAAGUUAUCUCCAUUUUCCACAACAAAACACACAGACUCGUAGAUGCUCAAAGAUCAAUGUUCAGUUUUUUGUACAGGUGCCAGAACAGUUAAGCAGGCAAUGAGAAUGUUUGGAUAAAUAAAACUUUAAAACACUGCCAUUUGGGAAUGUUUUUCAGCAGAAUGCCGCUCGACCUGGCUGGGGGAACUCUGUGCUACAGUUGCAUUUGAGAUGACAAAGGGGUACAUUUUUCUAUUUCAUAAUCGCUAACAUGAGGAUGUUUCUUCU